rnacentral:rRNA from 1 species
CUUGGUCAUUUAGAGGAAGUAAAAGUCGUAACAAGGUUUCCGUAGGUGAACCUGCGGAAGGAUCAUUAUUAUUUGGGUCGGGUUUACUUCUAGUAACUUGUUCAAUUGUCUGGAUCUCGAUAUUUAAGAAGUAAACUUUUACCAAAUAAUCCUAUUAAUUUCCUAAAUAGGAGCAAGAUAAACUUAUUUAAAACCCCACUCUUAAAAUGUUUAUACGUAUUUUAAAUGAUAAAAUUAAAGAUCACUUUCAACAACGGAUCUCUUGGCUCUCGCAUCGAUGAAGAACGUAGCGAAGUGCGAUAAGUAAUGUGAAUUGCAGUAUUCCGUGAAUCAUCGAAUCUUUGAACGCAAAUUGCACUUUCUGGUAUUCCGGAAAGUAUGCCUGUUUGAGGGUCAGUUAAAUAAAAAUCGGUGUUGUUACUACUUUUAGUAGUGACGCGUCGGAGUUGAGUCGUCUUUACCUUUUUUUGGUUAAGUGACUUAAAAAUUUUGAACGAUUUCUGAACGUAUUUAAAUUUUUACGUACGUUCUUAUCAUAUAUUUAUUAGGUGUGGUCAUUCCUAUGAUUCGCGUCUAUAAUUUUUUCAUUAUUUGACCUCAAAUCAGGUAAGAGUACCCAAUGAACUUAAGCAUAUCAAUAAGCGGAGGA